UGGUAAUUCUAGAGCUAAUACAUGCUAAAAACCUCGACUUCGGAAGGGGUGUAUUUAUUAGAUAAAAAACCAAUGCCCUUCGGGGCUCCUUGGUGAAUCAUGAUAACUUAACGAAUCGCAUGGCCUUGCGCCGGCGAUGGUUCAUUCAAAUUUCUGCCCUAUCAACUUUCGAUGGUAGGAUAGUGGCCUACCAUGGUUUCAACGGGUAACGGGGAAUUAGGGUUCGAUUCCGGAGAGGGAGCCUGAGAAACGGCUACCACAUCCAAGGAAGGCAGCAGGCGCGCAAAUUACCCAAUCCCGACACGGGGAGGUAGUGACAAUAAAUACUGAUACAGGGCUCUUUUGGGUCUUGUAAUUGGAAUGAGUACAAUUUAAAUCCCUUAACGAGGAACAAUUGGAGGGCAAGUCUGGUGCCAGCAGCCGCGGUAAUUCCAGCUCCAAUAGCGUAUAUUAAAGUUGUUGCAGUUAAAAAGCUCGUAGUUGAACCUUGGGCCUGGCUGGCCGGUCCGCCUCACCGCGUGUCUGGUCCGGCCGGGCCUUUCCUUCUGGGGAGCCGCAUGCCCUUCACUGGGCGUGUCGGGGAACCAGGACUUUUACUUUGAAAAAAUUAGAGUGUUCAAAGCAGGCCUUUGCUCGAAUACAUUAGCAUGGAAUAAUAGAAUAGGACGUGUGGUUCUAUUUUGUUGGUUUC
rnacentral:rRNA from 1 species